rnacentral:rRNA from 1 species
UACGAAGGGGGCUAGCGUUGUUCGGAAUUACUGGGCGUAAAGCGCACGUAGGCGGAUCGAUCAGUCAGGGGUGAAAUCCCAGAGCUCAACUCUGGAACUGCCUUUGAUACUGUCGGUCUAGAGUAUGGAAGAGGUGAGUGGAAUUCCGAGUGUAGAGGUGAAAUUCGUAGAUAUUCGGAGGAACACCAGUGGCGAAGGCGGCUCACUGGUCCAUUACUGACGCUGAGGUGCGAAAGCGUGGGGAGCAAACUAGG